UGGGGGUUCGGCUAACGGCAGGCCGCUGGGUUUUGGUCCCGGCUAUGGGGGUUCGAAUCCUCCACCCUCAG
rnacentral:tRNA from 1 species